UCUCUAGCUAGUCAGUACUUCAUGGCUGUUAAACAGGAUGUGCUCUUUCCUGGAACAGCUAAUUUACAAUUGAACCUGAAUCAUGAAAACAGGGUGUCUGCAUUAUAUUUGAGGAAGGAAACAUUCAACUAGAAACAUGGUGCUCUCAGGUAAAUCAGAGGAAGCUGAAAAUAAAAUAAUUAGAAAUAGAAUGGCUUUUUAUUUUAUGUGCCUGAUUUGGAGUUGGUUACAUCUAAAAAGGAAUGAAAAAAUGAUCUCUUUGCUUGAGAUUUGCCAAACAAUGCUAUAAGCUCCAAGUUAUUUUGAGGUGGUGAAAGGUGAAACAUUUGACAUGUUCUUUUUGAGCAAUGCUUUAAAAAGGAGAGGGCGGGAAAGAGGCGUUGCCACAUCAGAGUUAAGGGUGUUUGUGGUUGUCCAUGACAGCAGCUCCAGUUUUAAAACACCUGUGUUUACUUUCCAGCUUUUCUCAAUCGGCCUGAAAGUGGCCUAAGAAUGGCACAGGCAGACCUGCAGUAUGGCUGUGUUGCCUUUGCAACACACACACACA